rnacentral:rRNA from 1 species
GCGCAGCAGGCGCGAAUCUUCCACAAUGGACGAAAGUCUGAUGGAGCGACGCCGCGUGCGGGAUGAAGGCCUUAUGGGCUGUAAACCGCUGUCAGGGGGGAAGAACAUCGGAAUGAACAAUACUCAUUCCGACUGACGUUACCCCCAGAGGAAGCUCCGGCCAACUCCGUGCCAGCAGCCGCGGUAAUACGGGGGGAGCAAGCGUUGUCCGGAAUUAUUGGGGCGUAAAGGGCGUGUAGGCGGCGAGGUAAGUCGAAUGUGAAAUCUCACGGCUCAACCGUGAAACUGCGUUCGAAACUACUCUGC